rnacentral:rRNA from 1 species
CUACCCUUGACAUGCCUGGAGUCCUGCAGAGAUGCGGGAGUGCCCGAAAGGGAGCCGGGACACAGGUGCUGCAUGGCUGUCGUCAGCUCGUGUCGUGAGAUGUUGGGUUAAGUCCCGCAACGAGCGCAACCCUUGUCAUUAGUUGCUACGAAAGGGCACUCUAAUGAGACUGCCGGUGACAAACCGGAGGAAGGUGGGGAUGACGUCAAGUCCUCAUGGCCCUUAUGGGUAGGGCUACACACGUCAUACAAUGGCUGGUACAGAGGGUUGCCAACCCGCGAGGGGGAGCUAAUCCCAUAAAACCAGUCGUAGUCCGGAUCGUAGUCUGCAACUCGACUGCGUGAAGUCGGAAUCGCUAGUAAUCGCGGAUCAGCAUGUCGCGGUGAAUACGUUCCC